GGUUUUCCUAGUUUCCUUAUUUAGUUUAGGUUUGGAAUUAGUUUAGGAUGGAAUUAUAUUAGGAUGGAGUUAGAUUAUGAUCAAAUUAGAAUAGGUUUAGAUUAUUUUUAUAUAAUAAAUUUGAAUUGUUUAUAACCAUAUAUUUUUUAUGUUUGUUUUUUCAGAUUGACGAUAUUGCUAUGGCUAGCGGUAGACAGAUAAUUAGGAACCUUACGCAUAGAAACUCUUACGCGAGUAACUUUCUUCCACAGUCGGAUCCAUCGGCUUCUAC
rnacentral:lncRNA from 1 species